CGUAGGGGGCGAGCGUUGUCCGGAUUUAUUGGGCGUAAAGAGCGUGUAGGCGGUUCGGUAAGUCUGUCGUGAAAUCCUGAGGCUCAACCUCGGGCGUGCGAUGGAUACUGCCGGGCUAGAGGGUGGUAGAGGCGAGUGGAAUUCCCGGUGUAGCGGUGAAAUGCGCAGAUAUCGGGAGGAACACCAGUAGCGAAGGCGGCUCGCUGGGCCACACCUGACGCUGAGACGCGAAAGCUAGGGGAGCGAACAGGAUUAGAUACCCUGGUAGUCCUAGCCGUAAACGAUGGACACUAGGUGUGGGGGGAGUCGAAUCCCUCUGUGCCGCAGCCAACGCGUUAAGUGUCCCGCCUGGGGAGUACGGCCGCAAGGCUA
rnacentral:rRNA from 1 species